UACUGUCUCUAAAAAAUACAUGAAUGAAUGAAUAAAUAAAUAAAAUUUAGAAAAGAUGGAACUAGAUUGUUUCCUAUUUACUGAGUAUAUAGGUAACUUGCCAAUUUUUUGGUAGCUCUGUUUAAUAAAAAUACACUACAGGAUUCCCAAAUAAGGCCACAGCAGGAAGAUAAAAUUAUGCUUGAUAAUUUUAGGGUUGUUAGGAUUAUUUAUUUUAGUUCUCUAAAAUUGGUAAGAUGUUAAUUCUUCAUCAUCUACAUGGUUUAUCUAAUGGUAAUACCUUCCUUUUCGAAUGAUGAUGCAUAUUUUGCAUUAUUUUUGUAUUAGAGGAAGUAACAAAAUCGGUCAGGAUGUACAUAAACCAAUAAUUGACAAUCUGCACCUGUAACCUCAAUUGCUCCCUUGAGCAGUCUGGCCCUUUUUGUUAAGAUCAUAGAAUUUAGAAUCAAAGAAUUGCCUUCCGUUUCUGACUAUGCUACUUAUUAGCUGUGUGACUGUUUAUUUUAGGAGUACUUUUUGGCUCCCAAAGAAUUGGCAGGGUACCUAUAUAAUGAGUAAAUGGGAAUAUAAUUCUACCUGCAAAAUCACCAAAAUAGUGAUUUAAAUAAUGUUUUUUAAAAACAUUAUUUAAAGUAGAAAGAAGUAGAGAGAUAGGCAAUCCAGGGCAGGUAUGGUGCUUCCACAAAAAUCUUGAAGAAUUCAGCCUUCUUUUUUUCUGCUUCACCAUCCUCAGUUGGUGACUUUUUUCCUGAUGGUCAUCUCAUGGUCUAAGAUGGAGUUUUUGCCAGUGCUGCUGCCUGUUAGGCAUCAGGAAAGACGAAGAGCUUCUUUUGGCAGAACCAGUUUCUUUUCCAACCCACGCAACACUUCCACUUAAAGCUCAUGACCUAGAUGUGAGGGAGGUAGGAAAUGUUAUCUUUGCCAGGCACAGCUUAAAAAGAGGGGUUUUGUUACCAGGGACAGAGAGAAGAAUGGAUGUUUGCGAGGCAACUAGCAUUCUCUGCCAUAGUGACCUUGGAUCCUUUCAUCUCAUUGAGCCUCAGCAUUCUUGUCUAUAAAAAAUGGUUGUAAAAACAGGAUCUAAUUCAAGAUCCUAUUGUUUUGAGUAUCAAGUGAGUUAAUGCAUCUAAUGCAUUAAGCACGGUGUCUGGCAUGUAAGUAAGCAAUAAAUGUUAAUUGUUAUUCUUGCUACUUCCUUAAUAUCUCUAGGUUAAUGUCCUAUAGAUACUUAAAAUGCUUAUGUGUAUUAUAGAUUCUUACUGCAUUACCUAGCUCACCACCUACCUAUUCCAACAGGCUGGAAAUCUCAGAGCAGUCUUUAUGUCUUUAUUGCUGUCUGUACCUAAAAGUCAUCAAGUGUAAUUCUGCCUGCAAAAUUCUUCAUGGAUUUCUCAAAUCUGUCCCUCCAUUUCCAUUCCCAUAUCUGAAUUCAAACCGUCAUCUUUCCUUGCCUUCUACACAUCUCCACUAUCUACAAGAUCACAUCCAAACUCCUUAGAAUAGUAUUCAUGUCUUCAUAUAGUCUGAUUGCAGUAUUAAAAGCUUAAUCUUGAUUUCACCACAUCUCCCUAGUCUCCAGAUCACACAUUUCUUGUACUCUUAACUUCACUGAAAAUUCACUAUUCCCCAAAUAGGACAUUAUGAUUCUAGUUUCAUCUUCAGGGUAAAUUUUUAUGAAUUUUCAAGUUGAAACUUGAGGAAACUAAGCAUAGAUGUGUUUCAGCCUAUAAUUUUGAACAUUAGAAUGUGAUUUCUGGAAACUCCUUUGUGAUUUUAUUUAUGAGGACAACAGACGGACAGGUAUUCCAGUAUUUCUUAUCAAAGCUGAGUAUCUAAAUGUACAAAUGUGAAAGAACAAAGGGCUUUUAAGUGAAAGGAAUGGAUGGAAGGGAGUUGAUGCAUUUCUAAUGGAUGGGUUAGUUUGUUCAGCAGUUUUGAAAGUAUAGGUUUAGAUCUAGAGACUCGUUUUUACUUUGCAUUAGUUUAGGUACUUAAUGUGAAUGUUAUAUAUGCAUUUUGCUUUCAAAUUUAAAAAAUAAGUAGGGAAGGUUAGCUUUACUUUUAUUGUGUGUGUGUGUGUGUAAUGUGUAAUGGGACGUAUAAUGUAAUUUCAAAGCCCUCUGAUGCAAUAUUUUGGAAAUAAGUUGGUAGUACAAUUAAAACAUAUCUUUGGUCAUAGAUUACUUGGCCUUAUGCCAUUUUCAUAGGCAAUGUCCUACUUAAAUAGCCUGGAUUGGCUGAGAAAAAUAAUUGCUGCUAUGAAAUAAUUUUGCAAUUACCACUGUAAUUAAGGGCAGUUUGUUAAUGAAAGUGCUUGGUGAAUAAUGACUGCAGGGCACUCCAUCUUGCCGCUUCAUGCCAGAUGAUUGGUUCAUGUGGUGGAGGUAGUUAGGGAAUUAGUGACACAGCUGUCAUGGUUACAGGAUGGAUGUAAAUAUCCUUUGCAGUUGAUGAUGAAGAACAGUCAUUAGCCUCCUGCCCCUUGGGAACUGGUCAGAGGAACAAAAAUAAACUUAACACAUGAUGGUAAAAGCCAUUCCUUAUGUCUCCUUUUCUUCAGUAUGAACAAUUAACAUUCUAAUAGAAACUGCAGAGAGCAUGUGGAUGAACCUCUCCACUUUACAGGCGUGUUAGUGUGAUAAAUGUUCUUUUGUGUGGGGCAUUGGUUGUUCACAGUUUAUAACCACUCUUAUUAGCUUAUAGGCCAGUUAAAAACUGCUCUUUAGAGACCCACAGGCCCUAUUUAAAUUUUUCGUGUUCAUCUCCAGGUGUUGUGCAUUCAGUUUGACCCUUUGAAGACGGUCCACGGAUGGAUUUUUGCAUGCUGUCUGCAAGGCUUAAGGGGCAAUUGAAGAUCAAUUUUCUGUAUCUGGGCUUACUUGCUUAUGUAAAAUAUAUAUUGUUAUGAAGAAGACCUAAAUGCUUCUCUGAUCUUCCUUUGUAGUUUGCAAAAGUCAUUGAAGGUUAAGGAGCCUGUUUUUCCUCCUCCUCCUUAAAAUAAACGUCCUAGGUGUUUAAGUAUGCUUCGUAUUUAUAUUCAUUCCACUUCCUUGGUGUUUUGAUGUUGUUUUUCAUUGUAAAUUUGCUUAAGCAAUCUUUUGUGGAGUAAUUUCAUAACAUGCACACACUGUGGUUUUACAUUGAGUUGCUCGUGAUCUGCAAUUCAUUAACUUUUGCUGACUAGGAAGUCAGUAUAGCACGUUGCAUUUUCUCUGUUUAUCUUGCUAUAUAGUCAGUUUCAUUCCUUGUAAAAGAUGUUAGUAGAACACUUCCUUAAGUAUGGCUUCUCUUGCUGUCUGAUAUGCUGAAUCUUUUCCUCAGGGCCUUAAGGAGAGAUUGUUGGAGUUUGUAUCAUUGCCUCAGAGGUGACCAGAUAUCCUCACUAAAGGAACGUAACAGUUUUCUGGGUUUUAGCUCAAAAUGACUAUUCACGGUAACACUAUAUAUUUUAAGGAUGAAUUUAUUGCUGCUUGUGUCCGGAUAUGAUUCUCUGCAUUUGCUGUUACUUUUGUGCCCGUGUCUCCUCUUGACUUUAACAAGAGGAGGUGCCAAAUGGAAGGAUCAGAAUUCCACCUCAAAACUAUCAUACACUGUAGCCCGAACCUCUGCCUCUUCCUUUUCUCUUCUUUGGCCGUUGUGGAAAGAAUGAAUACUAUCAACCAGCUGAGGUGAACAGAGCCUUGUUCAGAUGUUUAAAUGCUUGCUUUGCAACUGAGUCAUUCACUCUCCCAAGAUGAACUUCUUUUCUCAUUAGCCAUAGCUAACUCACUGUGGAGAUGUUUCAAGCUGACUUGAUUGUGAUCAGACAUGAUAGGAUACAAGGUAACUUGCUGACCCUAAAUAGUAGGGGUGAGUCCCCCAAAGCCAAAUAACUUGAAAAACCUUACAUACUGAGCAUUUUUAAGAAUCUGUUUAUCUUAGUCCAGUAAAUGACAAAAUCCUUUGGAAAAUGGGCAUUAUUCUCAGGCAUGUUCAUGGCUGGCCAGAUUAUUUGGGUUUUGGCGGGAUAUGACUUUGGGGACUCUUCGCAGGAUGCCUGGGCACAGGAGGAGCUGAAAUGCUCCACAUUAAACCAACAUUGGGAAGCAAGAGGAGAGAAGCAUGCUAGAAAACACCCUCCCAGUUGAAUGCAAAUUGCACUGUAUUAUGAUUUAUUCUCUCUUUAGCAAAAGUGAGGGCUUUGUGGUAGGUCAAGAUAACUAAAUGGGAAAGAAAGAAACAAUUGUGUUUUUAAUUGGUGUUGCUUCAGGUACUGGGACUGAGAAACUUUUCUUCUUUUUCAGGAGAGUUAUGACACGCUGUCGUAUUUAGAUACUCAGUUUGUGUUCCCAUUUUUGUUUUGUUUGGUGGUGUUUUGAUUUUUUUUUUUCUAUUUUGUUUGUUUGUUUGUUUUUGGCUAAACAUAUGCGAUGCGUGUUUAAUUGAAUUUCCAAGGCAGCGAUACAGGCACCCGUCAAAAAGUGUAAAGAUUCACCCAGGUUUUCGGGAGAGGUGGCCAUGUGAAUUUAACAAUCUGCAAUGACAGGGGAAAAAAAGUUACUGAGUUUGUGUAAGUAGUUGAGAUUCCCAAGUAAAACAGCGUCUGUUCUCAUGUAGCUUUCUGGGCUAGUUUGGACAGGAGCUGGCAUCUCAUUUUUAUACAUUAACAACUCUUGUCAGAUUUCUCUAAUUUCUUCAGGACAAGUCAAAACCCUUAUAGUUCUCCACAUGAAAAUGUGUCGUGUCCCAUCCUGUCCUUUUGCCAUCUUUUCUAUCAAAGAAACACUAAUUAUAAAAAUUGAACAUAAAUUUGUGCUGUUUAAUAGGUUUGGGUUUAAUUUUGCCUCAGUGGGAAGACGUUUCCAUUAAAAGAGUCCUUUUUUUUUUCUCUUCCUCCCCCCUUUUUCUUUUGGUAGAACAUACUAAAGAAAUUUGUCUGAUAUUUCUGCUCACAUUGUUUAGAGAAAUUAUACUCCCAACCAUCUCUUGGCUGCUUUCGGGUGAAAUACAUCAACAUCUUUGAGACAUUUUAACCUGUGGUUAGACUGGCUUUAUUCUCUUCUGCUACUUUCCCACAAAUAAAGAGUUGUCAGAGUUCUUGCUAUGCAAUAGAUUCUACAUUUAAGGCAGGAUUUAGAUUAUUAGUCAUCUGAUGUUUUAGGUGUUAGCGCAACUAGAUACUUAAUUUUGGUUUUGUGCCAAUGCAAAUCACCUGGAGUUUUAUUUUUGGUAAGGUGGGGACAAGAAAUAAAUGAAGUGUGUUCUAAGCUGUUUAUUUUAUGUAGAAUAUAAUUUUAUUUUAAAUAUACUCUUCCUUGAUCUGUCUUGUUGCUCUAGUAUUGAUAUGGCAUGAAGUAGAAGUAGAUGUUUUUCCUGAGUAUGAUUUACUGUAAGUCCUGUGACUUCAGCUAUAUUGAGGCUACUACUAAUGGAUUAGUACAUUCCCGCAGUGUAUUUAUUUAGCAUCCUACCCUCCAGUAAUCAAAACAUGAGAUGCUUCAGUGUAGAACUGCUUGCUAGAGGUGAUGGAGAGAAAACACACCUCUCUAGUGGUGAUAUUAAUCUGUUUUCACUGUCUUGUGAAUGUGCUUAAUGUCUAGGGCAUGUUAAAUUGAGUUAUCCAAAAAUAGAGUCCCUGAAAUUUAAAUAAAGCGGCAUUGGAGCAAGAAACUAAUCAUUCUUUUUCUGAUAGUUAACCAAUUGCCACCUUUCCCAGCUCGCAUUAUAGCAGCUCCUAUGGGUGUCACUACACUGUCACAUUGUUCUGUAAUAUUCUGUUUACAUUUCUGUCUUCUGUACCAGACUGUGAGCUUCUUGCAGGAAGGGAAUGUGUUGUAUUCAUGUUCGCAUGGAACUUCUAGUCACUAGCUGAUGAACAAAUUUAAAAAAUGAAGAAACAUUAAAUACAUUAAGUAGGAAAAUCUUAUGCUUGUGCUGAUAGGUGAAAACUAAUCUGAUGACAUUCCUUCAAAGUUUGUUCAAACAGAUUGGUAUUUGUGAUUUCUGGAUAUAGGGAAUCUUCUUGUUGCCCAUCACUGCUCAUCUGAUUAAUCUUAGUU